rnacentral:rRNA from 1 species
GACGAACCGAGCGAACGUUAUUCGGAAUCACUGGGCUUAAAGGGCGCGUAGGCGGGCCGUCAAGUCAGGGGUGAAAGCCCCCAGCUCAACUGGGGAAGUGCCUCUGAUACUGGCGGCCUCGAGGGAGGUAGGGGCGUGCGGAACUUCCGGUGGAGCGGUGAAAUGCGUAGAUAUGCGGAGGAACACCGAUGGCGAAGGCAAUCCCCUGGACCUGUACUGACGCUCAUGCACGAGAGCGUGGGGAGCAAACAGG